CGGAGGGGUCACACCUGUUCCCAUACCGAACACAGAAGUAAAGUCCUCCAGCGCUGAUGGUACUUGGUGGGUAACUGCCUGGGAGAGUAGGUCGUCGCUGGAU
rnacentral:rRNA from 1 species